CAAAACGGCCUGGUAAAACACACCCUCCCCGAUCCCCAGACCUGAGCUUUCAAUCCUCUGCUGUGAAGUAAGCCACGCCCGCCAAACCACAAGCAGAGGCACUAAUAACUAUGCAAUCAAAAAUAAAAUACAUCUUUAAGAAAUCUAACUGGGAAAUGGCAAACUGUUCCAGCAACAGGGGCUAAGAAACAGGUAAUUCCUGUUAGCUGGCUUUUGCUUUGGCUCUGCAUCACCAGGUGACUAAGAAACCAGAUUUCUACCCAGAGGAUGGAGAUUCAUGAUUGACACAGCAGCUGUUCUCUUCCUGACAUUGCCUGGACUGUACUACAUCUGCCCAUCUGAUGCCCGAUUGCUGGGCAAAGGAUGUGAAGAGACAGAAGAGCAUUUCCAGAAAGGGGCCACUUCUUCAGACUUUGUAAAAUGUUCUUAGUAAUGGACCUACAUCUGUGUUUGAACAAUAUGUAAACCUGCAGCUAUAGAGUAGUUGACAACAGGGCUCAGAGUUUAAACUUUGGGGAAAUUACAGACAUAUUGAGUCUUCUCUGCAGAAAUUGCUUUGAAUACAAGGAAGUAAAGCAACUGUAGCAAAUGAUGGAGGAACAGCAAUCAUUCCAGGGAGUGGAGGCAGAAAACAAGCACACACGAUAAAGCAGAGGACCUGGGAAGCAGCAAUUCCUUCAGCCACACUGAGUUUAGUAGCUUAGCCAGAUCCCGAAGGGAUUGUUUUAUUAUUUAAUAUUUUUAUAGAUUUCCUUAAACAUAUUCAUCAUUUCAAAUAAAUAUGCCAGUCCAUUUGAGGAAUGUUUACAUAAAUUAUGUGGAAACUUUUUUUGACAUCCAUACUCAAGGUCUUUGCUUCUAGCAUAAGCAAGAGAAAGAAAGGCUCCUUCUUCCAGGGUGGUGGGUAUAGUUAAAGUUUAAAGACACAUACAUAAUUAAUCAUAAUUUUCCUUGGAUCCCAAACAUCUAAAUUAUAAGCAGCCACCUUGCACUGCAACUUGUUGUGGUGGUUUAAAUAUGCUUGGCUCAGAGAGUGGCACUAUUAGGAGGUGUGGUCUUGCUGGUGUCACUGUGGGGGUGGCUUUGAGGCUCUUCUGCUCAGUCUCCAACCAAAGUGAAAUGAGAGGCUCCUGUUGGCUACCUGCAGAAGAGACUUCCCUCCUGGCAGCCUUUGGAUCAAGAUGUAGAACUUUUAGCUCCUUCUCCUACAUAUGAAUGCUGCCAUACUUCCCACCAUGAUGAUAAUGGACUGAACCUCUGAAACUGAAAGCUAGCCCCAAUUAAAUGUUGUUUUUCUUUAUAAGAACAUAAGGGUCAUGUUGUCCCUUCACAGCAAUAAAACCCUAAGACACUUGUCGUGGUAAUGUAUAAAAUAUUAGUUAUUGUUAGAAAGUUGAAGACCCCCACCCCCAAAUUCCAUGAGGAGCAAAGAAAACCCUGCCUGUGCAAAAAGCAGAUGAAGUCCUGCAUGAACCUGAGCAUAGUCAUGUCAAGGAUCCAGUGCCUCAGACCCGUGAAAAGACCUUCCCCUGGUUCAUGUGCAAACUUUGACAAUUUGCAAAAAAUGUCAAUCACAGCUUCCUCCUCCCAGAAAUUCACAGUCUGAGACUUCUCUCCUUUAGAGACUUCCUUCCCAAAUUAACCAAAACUGCCUCCUUGUUUAGCUGUAAACAAUAAACUUGCCCCCUUGAUUCAGAUGUGCAGAAUAAAUAUGUUACGUUUCAAGGUUUCUGCUAGUGGUGUGUCUCAGAGUACACAGCCCACCCAAUCACAGCUGUUCUGUAUGUAUGCCUAAGUGACCCCACUUAGGUCAAUCCCAAAGCAGUACAAGUUGCAGCACUCCUGGUUCCUAAGAUCAACGAGUACCUCAAGCUUAGUUAUUCAUAUAGUAAUUAAAUAAUAAUUCAUAUAUUCGUAUAAUAAUUCAAUUCCAACUUCAAAUCUUUCCUCAAUCUCUUCACCUCCCAACUUGUCCUUUACAUCUAACCCAAUGACAGAGUGAGAAACAAGAGGAAGUACUGAAGAAGCAAGGAUUUCCACACUGCAUCCCCGUCCCACUGUCUUCUGCUAUGUAACAGACACUAUAACUUUGUCACAGAACAGCUUUCCUGAGCUCACAUGGUAUCAGCAGAAGCAGCGGGACUGAAGCUGGAGGAUCUAUGGCUGAGACAGCUCUCUUAAGAGUUGGUAAUCAAUCGCCAUUAGUCCUCCCCCUGUGGGUCUGUUCAUCAGACAGCCUGAGAGACCUCGCAGCAUAGUGCUGAGUUUCCUAAGUAAGUGUCUAGAGAUAGCAAGCCUGGAGACACUAAACCACAUUAUUAUAUUAAAUCUAGUAAAUCAUGUAGUAACACAAAGUGGCCAAAAGCCUGCCCAGAUUCAAGGAGAGGAAACCAAGAUCCCACCUCUCUCCGGCAUUGUUUUCUGUUUGUUUGUUUGUUUGUUUGUUUGCUAGGUGUCAAGUAGCCUAGGCUGGCCUGAAACUGAUUAUGUGAAAGAGGGUCACUUUAAACUCCUGACCCCUAUGCCUCUACCACAUGUGUGUGCACAUGGGUAAGUGACAGAGGGACCAUACCACACUACAGGUCCCACCUCUUGAAGGGAAAAAUGUGAAGUUUCAUUGGAAAAAGAGCAUGCAAGAGGCAAGUAUUAUUGCACUAACUUUAAAAACACAGUAGCUUUGCAGUAUCCACUCCACCCACACAAAUGGUCUCAGCUGGUUAAAGGAACUCUGUCCCUUUGACCAGUGAUUAGUUAGGGAUAGGCAACCCUAAGCCAUCCGGGGAAGUGUCUCUGACAAAAAUUUAUACUGUGCAUUUCUGGAGGCAGUGAAGUCCAAGGUAAAAGGUGCUGAUAGCUAAGUGUCCCUGAGGGCCUGCUUGCUGGCUCAUAAUUAGAAGCUUCCGGUUGUCUCCUUGUGUGGUGAUAGAAGCAAAGAGAGGCCUGCUGUAGGCUUCUGGGAAAGAGCAGCAAGUCUUCCCUGCUGAACAUGCAUAAACUAAUGCAUCUUCUGAAAAUAACUCUGCUACUAGUGGCCACUUUGUGAUUAUAAAGGGAGCAUAGACCAGAGGGUGAAAUAGAGAAAUUCCCAAUGAUGAUGCCAUCACUAAACCUAAGAUCCUUACAGCCUGCCUUUCCUGGAGAUAAUAAAUAAUAUUUCAGUAAUCUUUAAGGGGCUAGAGAGAUGGUUUAGUGGUUUAGAGCACUGACUGUUCUGCCAGAGGGCAUGGUUUCAAUUCCCAACACCCACAUGGCAGCUCACAAUCAUCUGUAAGUUCAGUUCCAGCAGCUUCAACGACUUCUUCUAGCCUCUGAAGACACCGGACAAGCAUGUGCUACACAGAUAUGCAUACAGAAAAGGCA